AUGUUUCAAAUAUAUAUUAUAUAUGUCAUGUUUCUCACGUGAGCAUUUCUCGAAGAUCACGCGUGAUAAACAUGUAGUUUUACCGUUGUGUUUUUUGAAUUUCGACCUGAAUGUGCUAUGGGAGGUUUAUGUCUUACUGGUAUCGCUAAUCUUUUUAAAUUUUGAUUGGGACUUAACUACAAUGUAUUGCUCAGCGUUAGUUAAAUCAAAAUACAUCUGAAGUCCGAUAAGAGUGAUUUAUCAAGCAGAGAAGCGACAACAUUUCGUAAUGGCGGCAAUCUUGACAAAAUGUCUGUUUGGAAAAUAUCUACGAUAAAAGACACUGCACUGCAUGCAAACUUGACGAAGCUGGGACAAAAUCUUAUUUUGUCAUCUAUAAUCAUGAAAUUGUACAAGAAUCAACGAAUGCUUUAAAGAGUCGACAAAAAAGCAUGCAAGACGGCAAAAUAUGGCUGCACAAAACAUGUUUUAUAGAAAGGUCCUUGACUACAUGUAGAAAAGUGCAGAAUACAAAUGGCAUUAAAAAGUUCCAAAAAAAUCUGUUUAACUGGUGAAUGGUUUUAAACCUCUCUCAGUUUACUGGCAUUUCACAGUCACCAACACUAGCAUGGUUAAAACAGAAUAUUGUUUCUACAGGAUGUUUAAAGAAGACUUGUAAAAACUUUUGUUAUUUAGUUAUUUAGAAAAUAAUUUAUUAGACUUGCAAUGGUACAUCUAACAGUAAUAUUGUGGUUAAUAAUAAAUAUCUUUCAAAUGAAAA